rnacentral:lncRNA from 1 species
AUAAUACAUAACAGCUCUCCCAGGAGCGACUACUGUUCCUUGAUAUUUUAGAGGAACCAAUAUGCUAGUGUGACACGAGCAAGGCAGGACCAACCAUUCAAAGUGGAGCAGGCUUAAUUUAGGAGCCACAGACUACAAAUCAGCACAUCCCUACUCAUGAGCCUGAACUCAGACUCACUCUCCGACCCCGUAACUGACCAGAACAAGGUGCUGCUCCCAGGUCCACCUUCCCUCAGAUGUGAGCUGUGUCGGCUCCGACCCACCUUGGCCCCUCAUGGAUCACUUCAGGGAAGUCCCCUGACCAAAAGGAUCUUCUUCACCAUCACCAUCUCCCCCGGCAGACCUUGGCCUUGGUUCUUGGAAAACCCUCCCCAUCUUCCAGAAUCCCAAUCGAAAUGCCGUGAAGGCAGGACAGUAACCUCUGACAGGUCUGAAGUCCUCGUACUUUCUCUUCACGAAUCCUAGGAACAAUCUCUUCAGGAAAAAACAGACCAACCCAAACUAGUUAAAUGUUGUCAAGAACACAUUCUUAAUGGUUAUCAAGACCACUUCCUGUAAUAUAUGCAGGGAAGAUCCCUAUUUAAAAUGACUGAGCAAGGGAUCCCUGGGUGGCGCAGCGGUUUGGCGCCUGCCUUUGGCCCAGGGCGCGAUCCUGGAGACCCGGGAUCGAAUCCCACGUCGGGCUCCCGGUGCAUGGAGCCUGCUUCUCCCUCUGCCUGUGUCUCUGCCUCUCUCUCUCUCUCUCUGUGUGACUAUCGUAAAUAAAAAAAUAAAAAAAAAUUUUAAAUGACUGAGCAAAAUUAUUGAGCACCUGUAUUUGCCACCUCUGUAAGGUGCUGGGGAUAGAAAGCCAGAUGGCACCAUGUCUGUCUUCGCUUGUACAGUCUGGAAGGGAGGACAGACCUGGUCAUGGUCGAAAAGUCAUGAAGGGGUUGCAGGAGAGCAUUUAAGACAGUCAGACACCUGGAGCAGAACCAGCUUGAAGAGCUGGUUUGUGAUGGGGUAGGAUGAGGAAGGAGGAAGAUGCCAGAUCCUUAAGCCCAACUGGAUGCCAUAUAAGAACUUUCUACCUUUUCUCAAAAACUCUAGGGAACAAUUAGAACCUUUAAAACCGGGAAUGAUAUGCAGAUUUUCAUUUUAGAAAGUUCACUCUGCCCACAGGGUGACAUAUGGUUUGAAGCGAGGCCCAGCUGGAGAUGAAAUGGGCUCCAGUGUCAAAGGGUUCUGAACAUAGGGACUCAAUAAGGGACGCUUCAGCCAAAUUAGAGAGCUUUCGAGGCAGAAGAGUGGUGUGGAUUUUGUGCUUCAUUCAGCUGGGAGGCUGGGGGCCAGGGGUCAGGAUUCAAGGGACACUUUCCCAAGAGGGUCUGUGUCAGGUCACCAGGGACUAUCCGGACUUUACUAAUGCUGUGCAUUGCCCUUGAUGAAGCCCGGUCGGCCGCGAGCUGUAGUCGAGCCUG